rnacentral:rRNA from 1 species
UACGUAGGGCGCAAGCGUUGUCCGGAAUUAUUGGGCGUAAAGAGCUCGUAGGCGGCCUGUCGCGUCGGACGUGAAAGCUUGGGGCUUAACCCCAGGUCUGCGUUCGAUACGGGCAGGCUAGAGCCAUGUAGAGGGUGGUGGAAUUGCCGGUGUAGUGGUGAAAUGCGUAGAGAUCGGCAGGAACACCAAGGGGGAAGCCAGCCACCUGGGCAUGGGCUGACACUCAAGUGCGAAAGCGUGGGGAGCGAACAGG